rnacentral:rRNA from 1 species
GACGAACGCUGGCGGCGUGCUUAACACAUGCAAGUCGAACGGACAGGCCCUGCUUUUGUGGGUUUCUCGAGUGGCGAACGGGUGAGUAACACGUGAGUAACCUGCCCUUGACUUUGGGAUAACUUCAGGAAACUGGGGCUCAUACCGGAUAUGAUCUCCUGCUGCAUGUUGGGGGUUGGAAAGUUUCGGCGGUUGGGGCUGGACUCGCGGCUUAUCAGCUUGUUGGUGUGGUAGUGGCUUACCAAGGCUUUGACGGGUAGCCGGCCUGAGAGGGUUACCGGCCACAUGGGGACUGAGAUACGGACCAGAAUCCUACGGGAGGCAGCAGUGGGGAAUAUUGCACAAUGGGCGGAAGCCUGAUGCAGCAACGCCGCGUGCGGGAUGACGGCCUUCGGGUUGUAAACCGAUUUCGCCGGUGACGAAGAGUGAGUGACGGUAAUGGGUAAAGAAGCACCGGCUAACUACGUG